rnacentral:rRNA from 1 species
GACGAACGCUGGCGGCGUGCUUAACACAUGCAAGUCGAGCGGUAAGGCCCUUUCGGGGGUACACGAGCGGCGAACGGGUGAGUAACACGUGGGUGACCUGCCCUCAGCUCUGGGAUAAGCCUGGGAAACCGGGUCUAAUAUUGGAUAUGACUCCAUGACGCAUGUUGUGGGGUGGAAAGCCUUGUGCGGCUGAGGAUGGGCCCGCGGCCUAUCAGCUUGUUGGUGGGGUGANGGCCUACCAAGGCGACGACGGGUAGCCGGCCUGAGAGGGCGACCGGCCACACUGGGACUGAGACACGGCCCAGACUCCUACGGGAGGCAGCAGUGGGGAAUCUUGCGCAAUGGGCGAAAGCCUGACGCAGCAACGCCGCGUGAGGGAUGACGGCCUCGG